AAACCCUUCGCGAACAAAUCUCGCCCUAUAAAACGACUACUCAUCUCACUCACCAUCACAACCUGUAAAACCCUAAUCUAUUGGCGCCGUCUUCACCUUCCUUAGUUCGAUCAAGCCAUUGAUUUUUGCCUUUUUGUUCUCCAACUUCCUCUUUCUUAUUUAUUCUCUACUUUGAAACUCUCAUGUCGUUUUGAUUUUUUUGCUCUCUUUUAUAUUCUUCAGCUUUAUUUUCAAUGGGAAUUCGAAGAUAUACAGGCCAAAUGAUGUGAUUUUAUCGAGUUGAAUACCUGCAUUCAUGUGGGUAUCUUGAUUCUUACUCUGAAUAGGAAGAUCUGAUGCCUUUUUUUUUUUCUUAUAAUUUCCCAACAUUUUUUAAUUUAUAUAUUUUGCCCUUACGAUACUCUCAAUUUUUUUCACGAAUCUGUUUUCCUUUUUUUUAUUCUAAAUUUCAGAUAUUGAGACAUAAUUAUAGUCAAAAAAUAUAUUUUUAUCCAAUUUGUUGGCCAGUGAUGAUAGUUUUUAUUAAUGGUUGACUGAAAUGCAUGUUUUAUACUUGCAAAAUUGUUGAAAAUCAUGAACUAGGACGGUCUGAGGCUAUUAUGAUUUCUUUUUGAAAGAUGAGUUUUUGAAUUUGAUGAUUUAUAAGUUUUUACAUGUGGGAUGUGCAUGAAGAUAUCAUUUUUUUACACAGUUAUCCCUGUCUGAUUAACCUUGAUGUGUACAUGUGAUCUGACUCAUACCCAUGUGUUAGCUUCUAUGAGUAUUUUAUUAUUACCUUUGUAGUUCAGGAUGCUAUUACAAAUGAUACCUUGUUAAUACUAUACCAAAGGAGUAUACAUCGGAUUUUUUGUUGAUAUUCUUUGUCAAGAAUUAUAUCCAAAGAAUUCGGUGUAUACCCUUUGGCAUAAUAUUUGUUGGUAUACAUAUCCUUUGCAUUGAGGGAAAGAAGAACAAUAAUGAUAUGAUUAUCUAAAUGGUAUAUAUUGUAUGCUACAAAUAAUUUUGUGUAUUUAUUGCAGAACAGUUUUGUUGAUUGGAUUCUUGAUUCUGAUGAAGUUUGAAUCUUUUGGCUUCUUUAGGAGUUGUGAUAGAUGUAAAUGUUGUAAUAAUAUAAAUUUUCUUCAGUUAUGUUAUAGUAAUGUGCUAAUACUUUAGUUAUGUUAUAGUAAUGUUUUAAUACUAGGAGUGUUGUUUUAAUGUCAUAAUAUAAAGCUCGAUUAGCUAUAUUUUCAUUUGAGUAUCAUCAUUCAUCGUAUUUGCUUAGCUUGUGAUGCAAUGUUAAAACUUUGUGAAACCUUUAGUUGUCGUUUUGUUAUUACUUGUGCAACACAACUGGUAUUUUUGUUUUCUUUUCAUGUUUACAGCCACUUUAAGACCAAUCCAACCUUCCUUUAUAAUAUUCUUUUUUCC
rnacentral:lncRNA from 1 species